GGGAGGAAAGAAGACAGGUGAAUGCUCCAAGCGAUGGAGGGAGGGACAGAGCCUGGAAGUUUACUAGGGGUGAUGAUGGCGCAUUUUUUUUCUGGCAACUCAUUAGAAAUAUAUAUAUGUGUGUGUGUGUAUACACACACACACACACACACACACACACACACACACACACACACACACAUAAAUAUAUAAAUAUAAAGCCUGGACCAGAAACCACUUUAGAACCCAGUGAUGGGCAAGUCCAGGAUUCUCCAAGUCGCAGCUUUCUCAUCUGUCGAAAGGAGAUAAGGGCAGCAGCUGCCCUGCCCAUUUUGUGUUGAAGAGGAAUGAAAAUGCCUGGUCUACUCAGUGAGUUCCAGCACAGAAAGGGCUACAGUGAAAAACCCUGCCUCCAAGACAGGACAAAAUGGCUUCAGGAAGGAUGCUGUAACUGGAUACAGAUCACGCUAACUCUGUGCAAACUCAGACUCUCAACACCAGGAAUGAACCCUGCUAUAGCCCAUAGGCUGGAUGAUGGCGUUAAGACACGUUCCCUUCAGCUCUUACAGCACUGGUGGCCCCUACUCACACCAUGCCAGCAGCUGCCCGGUCAUUUGACAGGACGUGUCCAGGAGGCCGACCUUUCCUCUGCACAAAGAACAGCUGUCAGAGCCCUCACCCGUGGAGCUAGGGACAGAGCCCAGGCAAGCACCGUGCCGUGGAGCUCCACUCCAGUCAGAAGAGUCUUGUCGAAAUGCAGACCCCUCAGGCCACUCUUGUGGUCACACAUGCACGCCUUCCCCUGGGCUUGAGUGCUCGGCCUACUUCUGCAGCCACUCAUGCACUACCACACUACCCGUGACACUAGCGACACCCGCCGCUCCCGCUCCUUAGAGACACUCACCCUUCUGCCCCUCGACUCCUCAUCCAGCACCUCGCCAGACAACCACUUGUCAAGGCAGGCAUCAAGAAAAUAAGAACGUCCACAACUACUGUCACUGUUCUGCGUAUCAGCUCCCAGAACGAACCCACCCUACAACUGCCAGCUUCCUUAGCUCCCCAGGGAACCACUGUCUCAUCUGCCUCUGUGAGUUUGCUACACACACUUUCCUCACGUCAAACAGGACUGGACAAGCAGUCCUUACAGGGCUUUUCCCGAGACCUAAGGGAGAUGAUGAUGCACCUGUCACAGCACCUGGCACACACUUGAGCUACUUUUCCUUCACGUGUGUCAGCAACUGUCCUGAGCUCUUCCUGAUAAGUCUUCCUGACGUGCCCCGAGUCCCACUGGUGAGAGAGCACUUUUCUUACUGACGUAGUGACGCAUCCUGUCUGCACCCCUUG